GGUCAUCCAAUAAGGAAUCACCAUCUAAAUCUUGCUAAAGAUUUCAUUAUAAAGCAGGUAAAAAGAAUUUGUGUAAAAGUGAGGAAAGUAUUUUGGCGCUGAUUAUAAAACAUAUGAUUUUAGUCUUCAUGCAAGUAUUAAGAAUUAAAGAAGAACAUUUUGUGAUUCUUUUUUAUAAUAAUCCAUCACUAAUAUUGAGUCUCAUAUCAGUGUGUGUGAGUGUCGUUGUCUCUUUCUCUGCUGGAGUUUGUGUUCAUUUGAGUGUGACGGAGGUUUUUGUACGACGCUUUCACUAGAAUGAAGCACUGUGGUGGACUUUUGGUGGAGGAACUAAACUGACGAUCGCUGGUCCCGCAGUGAAGCCCUCCGUGUCUCUGCUGCCGCCCUCUUCUCUGCAGAUCUCUGGAGACUCAGCCGCACUGCUCUGCCUGCUCAGCUCUUACUCUCCACAGGGGGCGCAGGUGAGCUGGACGCUGGACGGGUCAGAGGUCACCGAGGGGGUUCAGACCAGCGCAGAGAGCGAGCGGGACGGACGCUACAGCCGCAGCAGCGUCCUGAGCCUCAGCAAAGCACGCUGGGAAGGUGCAGAUCGCUUCGUCUGCAGAGUAACACAUGACGGAGCUGAUCAAGACGCCUUAUUCGUCAAGAGCUCCGAGUGCUGAUGUUUCUCCAGUGAAGAGCAGCAGGAUUCACAACAGUCACGUGAUUUACAGCUCAAUACUGAAACAGUCUUUCAAUGUGCUGCCAUUGAUGUUCAUUCAAUAAAGCUUCUGAACGCCUUA